UACGUAGGGGGCAAGCGUUGUCCGGAAUUAUUGGGCGUAAAGCGCGUGUAGGCGGCCAGAUAAGUCCGCUGUGAAAUCUCGAGGCUCAACUUCGAGCUGUCGGUGGAAACUGUCUGGCUAGAGUCCGGAAGAGGAGAAUGGAAUUCCUGGUGUAGCGGUGAAAUGCGCAGAUAUCAGGAAGAACACCCGUGGCGAAGGCGGUUCUCUGGGACGGUACUGACGCUGAGACGCGAAAGCGCGGGGAGCGAACAGG
rnacentral:rRNA from 1 species